rnacentral:rRNA from 1 species
GAACUUUCAACACCGGAUCUCUUGGCUCUCGCAUCGAUGAAAAAGGCAACUGAAUGCGAUAAGUAAUGUGAAUUGCAUAAUUCACUGAAUCAUCCAAUCUUUGAACGCACCUUGCGCCCUUUGGUAUUCCCAAUGGCACACCUGUUUGAGUGUCGUGAAAUUC